AUUGAACGCUGGCGGCAGGCCUAACACAUGCAAGUCGAGCGGAUGAGUGGAGCUUGCUCCAUGAUUCAGCGGCGGACGGGUGAGUAAUGCCUAGGAAUCUGCCUGGUAGUGGGGGACAACGUUUCGAAAGGAACGCUAAUACCGCAUACGUCCUACGGGAGAAAGUGGGGGAUCUUCGGACCUCACGCUAUCAGAUGAGCCUAGGUCGGAUGAGCUAGUUGGUGAGGAAAAGGCUCACCAAGGCGACGAUCCGUAACUGGUCUGAGAGGAUGAGCAGUAACACGGGAACUGAGACACGGUCCAGACUCCUACGGGAGGCAGCAGUGGGGAAUAUUGGACAAUGGGCGAAAGCCUGAUCCAGCCAUGCCGCGUGUGUGAAGAAGGUCUUCGGAUUGUAAAGCACUUUAAGUUGGGAGGAAGGGCAGUAAGUUAAUACCUUGCUGUUUUGACGUUACCAACAGAAUAAGCACCGGCUAACUUCGUGCCAGCCGCCGCAGUAAGAC
rnacentral:rRNA from 1 species